CUCCGCGCUCAGCACGCGGGGUAGGGUCCCGCGCUCAGCACGCGGGGGUAGGUCCCGCGCUCGGCGCGGGAUGGUUCCGCGCUCAGCGCGCGGGGU
rnacentral:tRNA from 1 species